rnacentral:rRNA from 1 species
UACGGAGGGUGCGAGCGUUGUUCGGAAUCACUGGGCGUAAAGCGCGUGUAGGCGGCCUCUUAAGUUUGAUGUGAAAGCCCGGGGCUCAACUCCGGAAGUGCAUCGGAUACUGGGAGGCUAGAGUACCGGAGAGGAGGGUGGAAUUCCUGGUGUAGCGGUGAAAUGCGUAGAUAUCAGGAGGAACACCUGUGGCGAAGGCGGCCCUCUGGACGGAUACUGACGCUAAGACGCGAAAGCGUGGGGAGCAAACAGG